AAAAACUACCAUAAAUGCCCAAUAAAGUUUUGAUUUUUCACAAUAUCAGUUCAAUUGUAUUUUGCAGAAAUGGGAUCUUCUGAAGGUCGAAGAGCAACUUUAAUGGUGUAUAGAAAUCUAUUCAAAGCAGUGAAAAAACAUAUAGGGAAGGAAGAACACAAAACUCAUUUUACUGAUUUCAGCAGGGAAGAAUUCAAGAAGAAUAUAAAUCUGGAAUACCCAAAAGACUCUUCUUUUAUUCAGCAAAGAAUUAAUCUUGCUCAAAAUUAUACUUAUCUUCUCAAUAGUAUCCAUCAUCAUAAGGACUUGUUAUUUUCUUACAACAUCGCAGUGGAUAGAUCAAAUGAGAUGGCAAAAGUGCUGGGCAAAUCUGCUGCAAGUGUGGGUCUACGCCUUCCUGAUGUUUAUCAGCAUUAAAAGUUGUACUGGUAUCAUGUCGAAGGUGGUUUCAGAUGAUUCAACAAAACUGGAAGCUGAUAUUGCAGAUAUCCUAGAACAACUUUCAUUCAUAUCUCCUUAGGAUAACAAUUUCACAGAUUUGUCCUAUGUUGGACAGAAUGUUUUUGGUUUGAUGAACACCAAACCAUGAGAGACAAUCAGAAAAAUGAAGAAUUUUUCGCGUUUGUGAAGACUGCUUCAAAGUAAUAUAAGAAAUUGCCAAGCUAGAGAUAGUUGUGCCUGAUAGGUUUCAUUGCAUAUGAGAACUCAUUAGUCCAUUUGAACAUGUUGUUUCUGUUUGUUGCUAUUGUCUCUUUUUCACUAUUCAUUCUACUGAGGAUUUUUUUGAAACAACUUCUCUACCUACUUUAUCAUCCCUAAACCCCACUUACGGAAUUUCACUGAAUUUGUUGUCGUUGUUGUUGAGUCUCACUAAAAUCUUGCAAGUUAUGUUGUACAGAAACAUUUGAUCAAUUAUUGAAAAAGAACAUGAUUA